rnacentral:rRNA from 1 species
CGAGCGGGGAAGGUUGCUUCGGUAACUAACCUAGCGGCGGACGGGUGAGUAAUGCUUAGGAAUCUGCCUAUUAGUGGGGGACAACRUUCCGAAAGGAAYGCUAAUACCGCAUACGCCCUACGGGGGAAAGCAGGGGAUCUUCGGACCUUGCGCUAAUAGAUGAGCCUAAGUCGGAUUAGCUAGUUGGUGGGGUAAAGGCCUACCAAGGCGACGAUCUGUAGCGGGUCUGAGAGGAUGAUCCGCCACACUGGGACUGAGACACGGCCCAGACUCCUACGGGAGGCAGCAGUGGGGAAUAUUGGACAAUGGGCGCAAGCCUGAUCCAGCCAUGCCGCGUGUGUGAAGAAGGCCUUUUGGUUGUAAAGCACUUUAAGCGAGGAGGAGGCUCCUUUAGUUAAUACCUAAAGUGAGUGGACGUUACUCGCAGAAUAAGCACCGGCUAACUCUGUGCCAGCAGCCGCGGUAAUACAGAGGGUGCGAGCGUUAAUCGGAUUUACUGGGCGUAAAGCGUGCGUAGGCGGCUUUUUAAGUCGGAUGUGAAAUCCCUGAGCUUAACUUAGGAAUUGCAUUCGAUACUGGAAAGCUAGAGUAUGGGAGAGGAUGGUAGAAUUCCAGGUGUAGCGGUGAAAUGCGUAGAGAUCUGGAGGAAUACCGAUGGCGAAGGCAGCCAUCUGGCCUAAUACUGACGCUGAGGUACGAAAGCAUGGGGAGCAAACAGGAUUAGAUACCCUGGUAGUCCAUGCCGUAAACGAUGUCUACUAGCCGUUGGGGCCUUUGAGGCUUUAGUGGCGCAGCUAACGCGAUAAGUAGACCGCCUGGGGAGUACGGUCGCAAGACUAAAACUCAAAUGAAUUGACCGGGGGCCCGCACAAGCGGUGGAGCAUGUGUUUUAUUUCG